UACAGAGGUCUCAAGCGUUGUUCGGAUUCAUUGGGCGUAAAGGGUGCGUAGGCGGCGCGGUAAGUCGGGUGUGAAAUUUCGAGGCUUAACUUCGAAACUGCAUUCGAUACUGCCGUGCUUGAGGACUGGAGAGGAGACUGGAAUUUACGGUGUAGCGGUGAAAUGCGUAGAUAUGCGGAGGAACACCGAUGGCGAAGGCAAUCCCCUGGGCCUGUACUGACGCUCAUGCACGAAAGCGUGGGGAGCAAACAGGA
rnacentral:rRNA from 1 species